GAUGAACGCUGGCGGCGUGCCUAAUACAUGCAAGUCGAGCGAACAGACGAGUACCUUGCUCCUCUCUCGUUAGCGGCAGACGUGUGAGUAACACGGGGAUAACCUACCUAUAAUACUGGUAUGACUUCGGAAAACCGGAUCUAAUACCGUAUAAUAUAGUUAACGGCAUGGUUCUAUAGUGAAAUUCGGUUUGGCUGUCGCUUAUAGAUUGAUCCGCGCCGCGUGAGCUAGUUGGUCAGCUAACGGCUUACCAAGGCAACGAUGCGUAGCCGACGUGGGCGGGUGAUAGGCGACCUUGGAGCUGAGACGCGGUCCAGACGCCUACGGGACGCAGCAGUCGGGAAUCGGACGCAGUAGUCGAGAGCUUGACGGAGCAAGGCCGAGUGAGUGAUGACGGUGUUGGGAUCGUGAAACUGUCUUACUAGGGAAGAACACAUGUGUAAGUAAACAUGCACGAAUUGACGGUACCUGAUCAAAAAGCACCGGCUAACUACGUG
rnacentral:rRNA from 1 species